rnacentral:rRNA from 1 species
UGGGGAAUAUUGCACAAUGGGCGCAAGCCUGAUGCAGCCAUGCCGCGUGUAUGAAGAAGGCCUUCGGGUUGUAAAGUACUUUCAGCGGGGAGGAAGGUGUUGAGGUUAAUAACCUCAGCAAUUGACGUUACCCGCAGAAGAAGCACCGGCUAACUCCGUGCCAGCAGCCGCGGUAACACGGAGGGUGCAAGCGUUAAUCGGAAUUACUGGGCGUAAAGCGCACGCAGGCGGUCUGUCAAGUCGGAUGUGAAAUCCCCGGGCUCAACCUGGGAACUGCAUUCGAAACUGGCAGGCUAGAGUCUUGUAGAGGGGGGUAGAAUUCCAGGUGUAGCGGUGAAAUGCGUAGAGAUCUGGAGGAAUACCGGUGGCGAAGGCGGCCCCCUGGACAAAGACUGACGCUCAGGUGCGAAAGCGUGGGGAGCAAACA